rnacentral:rRNA from 1 species
CCUACGGGUGGCAGCAGUCGAGAAUCAUUCACAAUGGGGGAAACCCUGAUGGUGCGACGCCGCGUGGGGGAAUGAAGGUCUUCGGAUUGUAAACCCCUGUCAUGUGGGAGCAAAUUAAAAAGAUAGUACCACAAGAGGAAGAGACGGCUAACUCUGUGCCAGCAGCCGCGGUAAUACAGAGGUCUCAAGCGUUGUUCGGAAUCACUGGGCGUAAAGCGUGCGUAGGCUGUUUCGUAAGUCGUGUGUGAAAGGCGCGGGCUCAACACGCGGCCGGCACAAGAUACUGCGAGACUAGAGUAAGGGAGGGGGAACCGGAAUUCUCGGUGUAGCAGUGAAAUGCGUAGAUAUCGAGAGGAACACUCGUGGCGAAGGCGGGUUCCUGGACAUUAACUGACGCUGAGGCACGAAGGCCAGGGGAGCGAAAGGGAUUAGAUACCCUAGUAGUC